GGCAGCAGGGACACUGGGGACAUGGGGGUAAUGGGGACAUGGGACAAUGAGGAUAUGGGGGUGCUGGGGGUGUGGAGGACACUGGGACACUGGGGGCAGUGGGGACAGUGGGGACAUUAGGGGUAAUGGGGACACUGGGGCCAAGGGGGACAAUGGGGGCAAUGGGAAUAUUGGGGACGCUAGGGCCACUGGGGACAGUGGGGACACUGGGGGCAAUGGGGAAAUCGGGGACGCUGAGGUUAUUGGGGACACUGGAGGUGUUGGGGGCAUUGGGGACACUGGGGACAUUGGGGACGCUGGGGGCAAUGGGGACAUUGGGGACGCUGAGGGUAUUGGGGACACUGGAGGUGUUGGGGGCAGUGGGGACACUGGAGAUAUUGGGGGUAGUGGGGACAAUGGGGACAAUGGGGACAUUGGGGAGACCCAGGUGCCACCACCACCCAAUGGACACUGGGGACACCGAGGUGCCACUACCACCCAAUGGACACUGGGGACACCCAGGUGCCACCCCCACCCAAUGGACGCUGGGGACACUGGGGACACCGGGGCUGCACAGCGCCGCCCCGUAACGAGCAUUAAUUAAACUCGGGGCCUCCGUGCCCCCCCCCCCCCCCCGGUGUCACCCUGACUCUGUGUCACAAAAGCAGGACAGCAACCAACGUGCUGGGGGGACACUGAGGUCAUGGCGGGGGACACCAAGGUCAUGGGGGGGGACAGCAGCGUGGGCAUGGCUGCCGUGGGGAUGGGGAUGGCCGCCAACAUGAGCGUGGCUACCACGGUCACGGAGAUGGCCACCAAAGUGGAUGUGGCUACCGUAGUCCUGGAGUUGGCCACCAGAAUGGAUGUGGCUACCGUGGUCAUGGAGUUGGCCACCAAAGUCAUCGUGGCUCCAGAGAAGGUCACCAAUGAGGUCAUGGCUGCUGUGGUCAUGGGGAUGGCCACCAA
rnacentral:lncRNA from 1 species